rnacentral:rRNA from 1 species
UCAAAGAUUAAGCCAUGCAAGUCUAAGUAUAAGCAACUAUACGGUGAAACUGCGAAUGGCUCAUUAAAUCAGUUAUCGUUUAUUUGAUAGUACCUUACUACAUGGAUAACCGUGGUAAUUCUAGAGCUAAUACAUGCUAAAAACCCCGACUUCGGAAGGGGUGUAUUUAUUAGAUAAAAAACCAAUGCCCUUCGGGGCUCCUUGGUGAAUCAUAAUAACUUAACGAAUCGCAUGGCCUUGCGCCGGCGAUGGUUCAUUCAAAUUUCUGCCCUAUCAACUUUCGAUGGUAGGAUAGUGGCCUACCAUGGUAUCAACGGGUAACGGGGAAUUAGGGUUCUAUUCCGGAGAGGGAGCCUGAGAAACGGCUACCACAUCCAAGGAAGGCAGCAGGCGCGCAAAUUACCCAAUCCCGACUCGGGGAGGUAGUGACAAUAAAUACUGAUACAGGGCUCUUUUGGGUCUUGUAAUUGGAAUGAGUACAAUUUAAAUCCCUUAACGAGGAACAAUUGGAGGGCA